CGGAAGGUGCAAGCGUUGUUCGGAGUGACUGGGCGUAAAGGGCGCGUAGGCUGGAUGGUAAGAAGAUUGUGAAAACCCCGGGCUCAACCUGGGACGUGCAGUUUUGACUGCCAUUCUUGAAUGUCUAAGAGGUUAGUGGAAUUGCAGGUGUAGGAGUGAAAUCCGUAGAUAUCUGCAGGAACACCGGCGGCGAAGGCGGCUAACUGGUGGAGCAUUGACGCUGAGGCGCGAAAGCACGGGUAGCAAACAGGAUUAGAUACCCUGGUAGUCCGUGCGGUAAACGAUGGAUACUAGGUGUUCGGGGCAUUAACCCCCUGAGUACUACAGCUAACGCAAUAAGUAUCCCGCCUGGGAAGUACGGUCGCAAGGCUA
rnacentral:rRNA from 1 species